rnacentral:rRNA from 1 species
AUGGAAAGCAAUAGAGCUCCUGGCCGUGAUAAUAUCCCAGCUAAGUUUUAUAAACACUGCUGGGAUUUCGUCAAAAAAGAUAUUAUGCGGUUGUUUGAAGCCUUCCAUAAUAAUACCCUGGAUGUGGCUUGUUUGAAUUACGGGAUUAUCACCUUGAUUCCAAAACUAAGUGGGGCAAAAAGAAUCCGGCAGUAUCAUCCCAUUUGCCUACUGAUAUGUCCGUACAAAUUAAUUACUAAGGUGUUGGAUAACAGGAUAGCUAUCUUUGCAGACAAGUUGAUUAGCAAACAUCAAAAUGCCUUCAUUAAGCACAUAAAGAUUAUGGAUGGGAUCCUCACGUUGCAUGAAGUGCUGGAUCACACCCACCAAAGAAAGAAAGUUGGGAUAGUGUUGAAUUGGACUUCGAAAAAGCAUACGAUAAGAUAA